UGUGGCAGAAAAGUGCCAUGGAUUUAAGCUCCAUAAAUAAAGGAGUCUUACCUUUCAUUAAAA
rnacentral:tRNA from 1 species